GUCCUUAGGUGAAGCAGCAAGUCUUGCUUAAGCAAAGCUGGUGAAAUCAGAGCCUGGUCCAAGGCUCAGAAGCAUUUGCGGGGAAAAGCAAACACUUUUUGUGGGAGAAGGAAACAAAGGAGAAGAGAGGAGGAGGAAGAAAUUGAAAAAGAAGGGGAGGAGAAGAGGAAAAGAAAAAGAGAUGUUGAGAGAAAGAAAAACAGAGAACUGUGUGUGAUUGGAUGCCAUGACUCCUCAGUCUCAGUGCUAAUGCCGUUGUUACCUAACUCUAUUUAGGGAACUUUCCAGAACACAGCAAAGCUUUGUGGGCCUGGCUUUCAGAACUUAUGCAACAAUUGUUUUGGGAGCAGCCUGAAAAUUUUACAAGAGAACUGAGUUUUCAAGAGACUGACAGUGUGACCAAAAGAUCAAAGGUUUGGUGCAGUGGGACUAAGUUUCAGGAAGCCUUUCAAAUUGUGAAGAUUUUCCUCCCUGUUAUGGCAGUUAAGACAUGUGAAAAUGGUAGUUCGAGACACUUAUAAGCAACUUUCUUCUUAGUUCACAAUGUUCCGUGAAUGUCAGUGCCCUCCAAACCCAUGAGAACAAAGCAGGCAACCAGGAUGAUUACUCCCAAAUCAUUGAUAAAAGGAGAGAGAAGUACAGAGAUACACAGUGAUUUGUGAGGAAACACAGAUAAAUUAAAUACUGGUUAGCAAUCUUCAAUAACCAGGAGAUG
rnacentral:lncRNA from 1 species